rnacentral:miRNA from 1 species
UCACCGGGUGAACAUUCAUUAU